ACAUGGUGCGUUCAGGUGCAGACUCUUCAGGUAGCUUUGUACUCUCUAAGACAUCACGACACUCUGGUGCUCUGACCAACCUGCUCAGACAAACUACACCACUGGGGGACGUGUCGGUGAUGGGUUACUCCAGUCAGGUGAUGACCAGGUCAAACUUGUCCUUGCAGCUUUGAAAGCGCUCCGGCUUUGAUUUGAUGCGCUUGUUGCGGUCCAGCAUGUGCAGGAUGCCAUUCUGUGUGUAUCUGAAGAGUUCGGAGGUCAAGGAACACAGCAGGAGCAAGAGAAACACUUCAAGAUGCAGUCAGCUAGCUGAAGACACUCCCUCUCGGGGCCAAUAAAAGAAGACCAUCCUACCUGUGUCAUCACGACAGAAAACUGACAGCAGAGGCGUCUUUGUGCUGCGGCCUGGUGAGUAAAUCCCUGGUAGGCUGUCAGAAAGCCAAAAAGCAACACAAUGUUUUAUGCCUUGGGGAGCUUAAGAGCACUGACUGUGACCAGGUACUGAGUGCCCGGCUCCAGGCCCGUCAGUACGGUGGAGUUCUGCUGGUUGGGUAAUGUCACGAUGUGGACGUCUCCGCUUGGAAUAGCUCCAUACUCCACCGUAUAUCUCUGAACUCGAGCCGGCUGCAGGGGACCCCAGCUCACACGGAUCUGACGAAGACCAGAGGCCAACACGGAGACCACUGCCGGGCUUAAAACAUCUGAGGGGAGAGGAAGCACAAGAGACACAGACAGGAAACAGAAAAAACGCAGUAAAAGGCUCUCUAAUGGCAUGGAUAUCUGUCCUCUUUGACGCACACUCAGUCUGUUGAAUGACCGCGUCUCAAGUUUUGUGAUGUAUUUCUAUCAGAAAAAUGGAAAUUCAAACAUCUACAAUUCAACAACAAGUGAGAAAACUCAAUUUGCUGAGGAAGAUUUUGCAAAAUGAUUGCUAACAAUAACAGCAACCGAAUGGGCCUUGUGGUGAGAUUGUUUCUCUUCCCCUCUUUUAAUUGUUUUUAUGCCCCCGCGCCGGCGAAAGCCGUGGCCACAGACAUGGAUGUAAACUGCAACUUGACUGCU